UCCGUGUUAACCACGGCAGUCUCUCUAGAGUGCCCAACUGAAUGCUGGCAACUAAAGACAAGGGUUGCGCUCGUUGCGGGACUUAACCCAACAUGUCACCACACGAGCUGAUGACAGCCAUGCAGCACCUGUCUCCCGGCUGUAUUGCUACAGAAGACGUAUUUCUACGUUUGUCCGGGGAUGUCAAACCCAGGUAAGGUUUUGCGCGUUGCUUCGAAUUAAACCACAUGAUCCACCGCUUGUGCGGGCCCCCGUCAAUUCCUUUGAGUUUUAGCCUUGCGGCCGUACUCCCCUGGCGGGGCACUUAAUGCGUUAGCUACGGCACGGAACGGGUUGGUACCGCCCCACACCUAGUGCCCAACGUUUACGGCGUGGACUAC
rnacentral:misc_RNA from 1 species